GACGUAGGGUCCGAGCGUUGUCCGGAGUUACUGGGCGUAAAGGGCGCGUAGGCGGCUCUGCACGUCCGUUGUGAAAUCGCCCGGCUCAACUGGGCGGGGUCAGCGGAUACGGCAGAGCUUGAGCAAGCUAGGGGGCAAUGGAAUUCCCGGUGUAGUGGUGGAAUGCGUAGAUAUCGGGAGGAACACCAGUGGCGAAGGCGGUUGCCUGGGGCUUUGCUGACGCUGAUGCGCGAAAGCGUGGGGAGCGAUCCGG
rnacentral:rRNA from 1 species